rnacentral:rRNA from 1 species
AAAGGAAUAGACGGGGGCCCGCACAAGCAGCGGAGCGUGUGGUUUAAUUCGAUGCUACACGAAGAACCUUACCCAGGCUUGACAUACAGGUGGUAGAGAUCCGAAAGGUGAUCGACCCGCAAGGGAGCCUGAACAGGUGUUGCAUGGCUGUCGUCAGCUCGUGUCGUGAGAUGUUCGGUUAAGUCCGCUAACGAGCGCAACCCUUGCCGCGUGUUACAUGUGUCACGCGGGACCGCCGGUAUUAAGCCGGAGGAAGGCGGGGAUGACGUCAAGUCAGCAUGGCCUUUAUGCCUGGGGCUACACACACGCUACAAUGGGCAGUACAAUGGGUUGCCAAGCCGCGAGGCGGAGCUAAUCCCCCAAAACUGUCCUCAGUUCAGAUUGCAGGCUGAAACUCGCCUGCAUGAAGCCGGAGUUGCUAGUAAACGCGCGUCAGCUAUAGUGCGUUGAAUACGUUCUCGGGCCUUGUACACACCGCCCGU